GACGUAGGAUGCAAGCGUUGUCCGGAUUUAUUGGGCGUAAAGAGUUCGUAGGUGGUUUGUUAAGUCUGAUGUAAAAGACCGGGGCUCAACUUCGGGACUGCAUUGGAUACUGGCAGACUUGAGUGUGGUAGAGGCAAUCGGAAUUCCAGGUGUAGCGGUGAAAUGCGCAGAUAUCAGGAGGAACACCGGUGGCGAAGGCG
rnacentral:rRNA from 1 species